GACGAACGCUGGCGGCGUGCUUAACACAUGCAAGUCGAACGGAAAGGCCCUGCUUUUGUGGGGUGCUCGAGUGGCGAACGGGUGAGUAACGCGUGAGUAACCUGCCCUUGACUUUGGGAUAACUUCAGGAAACUGGGGCUAAUACCGGAUAGGAGCUCCUGCUGCAUGGUGGGGGUUGGAAAGUUUCGGCGGUUGGGGAUGGACUCGCGGCUUAUCAGCUUGUUGGUGGGGUAGUGGCUUACCAAGGCUUUGACGGGUAGCCGGCCUGAGAGGGUGACCGGCCACAUUGGGACUGAGAUACGGCCCAGACUCCUACGGGAGGCAGCAGUGGGGAAUAUUGCACAAUGGGCGGAAGCCUGAUGCAGCAACGCCGCGUGCGGGAUGACGGCCUUCGGGUUGUAAACCGCUUUCGCCUGUGACGAAGCGUGAGUGACGGUAAUGGGUAAAGAAGCACCGGCUAACUACGUGCCAGCAGCCGCGGUGAUACGUAGGGUGCGAGCGUUGUCCGGAUUUAUUGGGCGUGAAGGGCUCGUAGGUGGUUGAUCGCGUCGGAAGUGUAAUCUUGGGGCUUAACCCCUGAGCGUGCUUUCGAUACGGGUUGACUUGAGGAAGGUAGGGGAGAAUGGAAUUCCUGGUGGAGCGGUGGAAUGCGCAGAUAUCAGGAGGAACACCAGUGGCGAAGGCGGUUCUCUGGGCCUUUCCUGACGCUGAGGAGCGAAAGCGUGGGGAGCGAACAGGCUUAGAUACCCUGGUAGUCCACGCUGUAAACGGUGGGUACUAGGUGUGGGGUCCAUUCCACGGGUUCCGCGCCGUAGCUAACGCUUUAAGUACCCCGCCUGGGGAGUACGGCCGCAAGGCUAAAACUCAAAGGAAUUGACGGGGCCCCGCACAAGCGGCGGAGCAUGCGGAUUAAUUCGAUGCAACGCGUAGAACCUUACCUGGGUUUGACAUGGAUCGGGAGUGCUCAGAGAUGGGUGUGCCUCUUUUGGGGUCGGUUCACAGGUGGUGCAUGGCUGUCGUCAGCUCGUGUCGUGAGAUGUUGGGUUAAGUCCCGCAACGAGCGCAACCCUUGUUCACUGUUGCCAGCACGUUAUGGUGGGGACUCAGUGGAGACCGCCGGGGUCAACUCGGAGGAAGGUGGGGAUGACGUCAAGUCAUCAUGCCCCUUAUGUCCAGGGCUUCACGCAUGCUACAAUGGCUGGUACAGAGAGUGGCGAGCCUGUGAGGGUGAGCGAAUCUCGGAAAGCCGGUCUCAGUUCGGAUUGGGGUCUGCAACUCGACCUCAUGAAGUCGGAGUCGCUAGUAAUCGCAGAUCAGCAACGCUGCGGUGAAUACGUUCCCGGG
rnacentral:rRNA from 1 species